UGUGCAAAGGUAGCAUAAUCAUUUGGCUUAUAAUUGAAGUCUGGCAUGAAAGAAUCAAUGGGAAGCUACUGUCUUCUAUGUUGUUUUAGAAAUUACUUAUCAGGUGAAAAUACCUGAAUAAAAAUAAUAGACGAGAAGACCCUAGAAAUUUUAUUAAUCAUAGUGAUUAGUUACUAUAUCAUUUUGUUGGGGCGACAGAAUAACAAAUAACUUAUUUUAUAUAAAUGAGCACUAUGUUUUGUGAAAACUUAAAUUACUCUAGGGAUAACAGCAUAAUUUAUAAGAGUUUGUGACCUCGAUGUUGGACUAGGGGUUUUAUUGUUCAGAAGAUAAUAAAAAUAGCUCUGUUCGAGCUAAUAUCCCUACAUGAUCUGAGUUCAAAUCGA
rnacentral:rRNA from 1 species